GCUCCUGUAGUGUAGUGGUCAUCACUCCAGAUUCUGAUUCUGGCGACCUGAGUUCGAAUCUCAGCAGGAGCU
rnacentral:tRNA from 1 species